rnacentral:rRNA from 1 species
AGCGUACACGGUGGAUGCCCUGGCAGUCAGAGGCGAUGAAGGACGUGCUAAUCUGCGAUAAGCGUCGGUAAGGUGAUAUGAACCGUUAUAACCGGCGAUUUCCGAAUGGGGAAACCCAGUGUGAUUCGUCACACUAUCAUUAACUGAAUCCAUAGGUUAAUGAGGCGAACCGGGGGAACUGAAACAUCUAAGUACCCCGAGGAAAAGAAAUCAACCGAGAUUCCCCCAGUAGCGGCGAGCGAACGGGGAGCAGCCCAGAGCCUGAAUCAGUGUGUGUGUUAGUGGAAGCGUCUGGAAAGGCGCGCGAUACAGGGUGACAGCCCCGUACACAAAAAUGCACAUGCUGUGAGCUCGAUGAGUAGGGCGGGACACGUGGUAUCCUGUCUGAAUAUGGGGGGACCAUCCUCCAAGGCUAAAUACUCCUGACUGACCGAUAGUGAACCAGUACCGUGAGGGAAAGGCGAAAAGAACCCCGGCGAGGGGAGUGAAAAAGAACCUGAAACCGUGUACGUACAAGCAGUGGGAGCACGCUUAGGCGUGUGACUGCGUACCUUUUGUAUAAUGGGUCAGCGACUUAUAUUCUGUAGCAAGGUUAACCGAAUAGGGGAGCCGAAGGGAAACCGAGUCUUAACUGGGCGUUAAGUUGCAGGGUAUAGACCCGAAACCCGGUGAUCUAGCCAUGGGCAGGUUGAAGGUUGGGUAACACUAACUGGAGGACCGAACCGACUAAUGUUGAAAAAUUAGCGGAUGACUUGUGGCUGGGGGUGAAAGGCCAAUCAAACCGGGAGAUAGCUGGUUCUCCCCGAAAGCUAUUUAGGUAGCGCCUCGUGAAUUCAUCUCCGGGGGUAGAGCACUGUUUCGGCAAGGGGGUCAUCCCGACUUACCAACCCGAUGCAAACUGCGAAUACCGGAGAAUGUUAUCACGGGAGACACACGGCGGGUGCUAACGUCCGUCGUGAAGAGGGAAACAACCCAGACCGCCAGCUAAGGUCCCAAAGUCAUGGUUAAGUGGGAAACGAUGUGGGAAGGCCCAGACAGCCAGGAUGUUGGCUUAGAAGCAGCCAUCAUUUAAAGAAAGCGUAAUAGCUCACUGGUCGAGUCGGCCUGCGCGGAAGAUGUAACGGGGCUAAACCAUGCACCGAAGCUGCGGCAGCGACACUAUGUGUUGUUGGGUAGGGGAGCGUUCUGUAAGCCUGUGAAGGUGUGCUGUGAGGCAUGCUGGAGGUAUCAGAAGUGCGAAUGCUGACAUAAGUAACGAUAAAGCGGGUGAAAAGCCCGCUCGCCGGAAGACCAAGGGUUCCUGUCCAACGUUAAUCGGGGCAGGGUGAGUCGACCCCUAAGGCGAGGCCGAAAGGCGUAGUCGAUGGGAAACAGGUUAAUAUUCCUGUACUUGGUGUUACUGCGAAGGGGGGACGGAGAAGGCUAUGUUGGCCGGGCGACGGUUGUCCCGGUUUAAGCGUGUAGGCUGGUUUUCCAGGCAAAUCCGGAAAAUCAAGGCUGAGGCGUGAUGACGAGGCACUACGGUGCUGAAGCAACAAAUGCCCUGCUUCCAGGAAAAGCCUCUAAGCAUCAGGUAACAUCAAAUCGUACCCCAAACCGACACAGGUGGUCAGGUAGAGAAUACCAAGGCGCUUGAGAGAACUCGGGUGAAGGAACUAGGCAAAAUGGUGCCGUAACUUCGGGAGAAGGCACGCUGAUAUGUAGGUGAAGUCCCUCGCGGAUGGAGCUGAAAUCAGUCGAAGAUACCAGCUGGCUGCAACUGUUUAUUAAAAACACAGCACUGUGCAAACACGAAAGUGGACGUAUACGGUGUGACGCCUGCCCGGUGCCGGAAGGUUAAUUGAUGGGGUCAGCGCAAGCGAAGCUCUUGAUCGAAGCCCCGGUAAACGGCGGCCGUAACUAUAACGGUCCUAAGGUAGCGAAAUUCCUUGUCGGGUAAGUUCCGACCUGCACGAAUGGCGUAAUGAUGGCCAGGCUGUCUCCACCCGAGACUCAGUGAAAUUGAACUCGCUGUGAAGAUGCAGUGUACCCGCGGCAAGACGGAAAGACCCCGUGAACCUUUACUAUAGCUUGACACUGAACAUUGAGCCUUGAUGUGUAGGAUAGGUGGGAGGCUUUGAAGUGUGGACGCCAGUCUGCAUGGAGCCGACCUUGAAAUACCACCCUUUAAUGUUUGAUGUUCUAACGUUGACCCGUGAUCCGGGUUGCGGACAGUGUCUGGUGGGUAGUUUGACUGGGGCGGUCUCCUCCUAAAGAGUAACGGAGGAGCACGAAGGUUGGCUAAUCCUGGUCGGACAUCAGGAGGUUAGUGCAAUGGCAUAAGCCAGCUUGACUGCGAGCGUGACGGCGCGAGCAGGUGCGAAAGCAGGUCAUAGUGAUCCGGUGGUUCUGAAUGGAAGGGCCAUCGCUCAACGGAUAAAAGGUACUCCGGGGAUAACAGGCUGAUACCGCCCAAGAGUUCAUAUCGACGGCGGUGUUUGGCACCUCGAUGUCGGCUCAUCACAUCCUGGGGCUGAAGUAGGUCCCAAGGGUAUGGCUGUUCGCCAUUUAAAGUGGUACGCGAGCUGGGUUUAGAACGUCGUGAGACAGUUCGGUCCCUAUCUGCCGUGGGCGCUGGAGAACUGAGGGGGGCUGCUCCUAGUACGAGAGGACCGGAGUGGACGCAUCACUGGUGUUCGGGUUGUCAUGCCAAUGGCACUGCCCGGUAGCUAAAUGCGGAAGAGAUAAGUGCUGAAAGCAUCUAAGCACGAAACUUGCCCCGAGAUGAGUUCUCCCUGACUCCUUGA